UACGUAGGAUCCGAGCGUUGUCCGGAUUUACUGGGUGUAAAGGGUGCGCAGGCGGACUGAUAAGUCAGUGGUGAAAUCUCGUCGCUUAACGACGAAACUGCCUUUGAUACUAUCAGUCUUGAAUCCGGUAGAGAUCUGUGGAAUUCCGAGUGUAGCAGUGAAAUGUGUAGAUAUUCGGAAGAACACCAGUGGCGAAGGCAGCAGAUUGGGCCGGUAUUGACGCUCAGGCACGAAAGCAUGGGGAUCAAACAG
rnacentral:rRNA from 1 species